UCUCGUUCUUGAGGAUCAACUCUGCCAAGAGACGAAGAAGAGUGAGAUCAGAGGGAAAGUCCGGGGUGAGUCAUUCCUGCCCCGUUCGUGUACCGACCACCUACAACGAGCAGACGCUGUUCUAGGGAGAGGCGUGGAGACAAAGAUAAUCCCUGCCUUCGCCCCGGGAGCCAGACGAGGACACGAUGGUGGCAGGUGCUCCGGACAGCCGGACACUGAGGACUCGAAGACUCCCGGUGAAUCCCCCCAGAUGGGAAGGCUGCAGUAGGAAGAGGUUUCCCAACUUACCCAAGAUGGCCAGCUGAUAAACGGCGAUCCUGCCCUGGAACCCCGCCCUGGAACACAGCGGAGAGGCCCCUCUGCUGCCCUGAUCUCCUUCCCGCGUUUUCCCUCCCCCUGCACAAGCAGGAGGGGACCGCUGAGCUCCUCUGCUCCGGCCUGCAGUGCUGCCGGGGAGCUCACUGCGGAGUCCCUGUCAAACCCUCCCCAUGAGGAAGGGCUCACCGUGUCCCAGGCUGUUGCUUCUGAGCUUAGAUGGCUCACCAGGCUGCCUACUCUUCUACUCAGACACAAGCUAGGUCCCUGCAAGCAGGUGCCCUCCUGCCUCCCAGCAGCACACCUCCUGCUCUCCGAAUCCACUUUCUUUCCCCUAGGACCCGGGCAGGGCAGGACACUGAUCCUGCCCUUAUUUUUCCGAGCUACGGGGCCUUUGUGACAGCUGCUCCCAGUCAGCUGUGCGGCUCCUACAUCCCCCCUCCCCGCCCCGGACACCUCCCAGCCCAUCUGUGUCCCUGGGGGCCCAGAUGUGGACAUGGGGUCGACCUGGUCUCCCUGCAGCACAGAAAGGAAUACUCUGUAAUAUAUUCUUUUAAGGGGCACCCCCGUGGCUCAGUCGGAGAAGCAUCUGACUUUGGCCCAGGUCACGAUCUUGCAGUGCAUGAGUUUGAGCCCCAUGUUGGGCUCUGUGCUGAGA